CCUACGGGUGGCAGCAGUGGGGAAUAUUGGGCAAUGGAGGAAACUCUGACCCAGCAACGCCGCGUGAAUGAUGAAGGUCUUCGGAUUGUACAGUUCUUUUCUAAGGGAAGAAGAAAGUGACGGUACUUUAGGAUUAAGCCUCGGCUAACUACGUGCCAGCAGUCGCGGUAAUACGUAGGAGGCAAGCGUUAUCCGGAAUGACUGGGCGUAAGGGGUGCGUAGGUGGUUUGAUAAGUUGGUAGCGUAACUCCGAGGCUCAACCUCGGCACUACUACCAAAACUGUCGGACUUGAGUGCAGGAGGGGCAACUGGAAUUCCUAGUGUAGCGGUGGAAUGCGUAGAUAUUAGGAGGAACACCAGUGGCGAAGGCGAGUUGCUGGACUGUAACUGACACUGAGGCACGAAAGCGUGGGGAGCAAACAGGAUUAGAUACCCGGGUAGUC
rnacentral:rRNA from 1 species